ensembl:lncRNA
UUUCUCUGCAGGCAGCCGCCACCCCCUGCUGUGUUUACAUAAAAACACAUUUGCACAGGGUUUUGUUUUUACAUUUGCCUCAGAGGCCUGGAGUCUAUUAAAUGUGGGGAGGCCUGAUGAUCUGGCUGGAAGCAGCUGAUGGGAGAGGGCAGGCUGAAGGAAGAUGCUCUAGGCCUGCAUUUCCUCCCAGUCCCAGGGAGCCCUGGGUCUCUCUGCAGAGGGGAUAAAAGGGCUCACUGAACUCUCUUGUGCAUGUGCCCGGCAUUUCUCAACCUCAGCCCCACUGACAUUUGGGGCUGCGUGAUUUAUUGUUGAGGGGGGCUGCUCUGUAUACCGCAGAAGCAUCCCUGGCUUCUGCCUACCAGCAUCCUUCCACCAGUUGAGAUGAUCAAAAACAUCUUCAGUCGCUCAGUCGUGUCUUUGUGACCCCACGGACUGCAGCACACCAGGCUUCCCUGUCCAUCACCAGCUCCCGGAGUUUGCCAAGUGUCUCCUGCAGGGCAAAAUCGCCCCCACUUGAGAACCACUGGCACACACACGAAGAUACACACACGAAAGCUCAGCUCAGGAACUCUCCGCCUUUCAACGCCCACCUGAAACAAGCGCUGACGCUGUCUCCCGCACCUCUGCAUCCCUGGCUCUUUCCCCAGUGCCUGGCGUGCAACGUUUGAGAGGCUCAAAGGCGUUCUGUGGCAUGAGCAGACCAUGGCGGCACGACUGAUACCGACGGCCACCGGUUUCCGCGGCUGGGAGGGCACUGUCCGGCAUUCGGACUCUGGCCACCAUGCAGGUUUGCACCAUGUGCCAGGCUGUUCCCACAUCACCUCACCCGGCCCACAGAUUGAGGCCCAUGACUGUCUCCAUUUUCCAUGUAAUGUCAGAUCACCUGACCUGCCUCCAGCACUGCCUUCAAUCCUGUUAGGUUGCUUCCGUCAGAAUCCUCCCCAGUUCUUUUCCUUUCUGUAAUUUUGUAAUUUUCCAUCCAUUGAUCACCCCCCUAUGUCUGGCCAACCUUAUUGCUUGGUUGUAUACGCCCACUUGCCCAUGCUGUAUUCGGAGUUGAGCUAGUUCUCUCCAGAGGUCUCUCUUCUCCUGUUGCAAUAGUCCUGAAUAAAAUCUACUUUUUCCACUUC